rnacentral:rRNA from 1 species
GAUGAACGCUGGCGGCGUGCCUAACACAUGCAAGUCGAACGGAGUCCAGCCUUAGAGACCUUCGGGUCAAAGAGGGGAAGACUGAGUGGCGGACGGGUGAGUAACACGUGGGCAACCUGGCUCAUAGAGGGGGAUAACAGAGAGAAAUUUCUGCUAAUACCGCAUAAGCACACACUGCCGCAUGGCAGAGUGUGAAAAGAGAAUCGCUAUGAGAUGGACCCGCGUCUGAUUAGCCAGUUGGCAGGGUAAGAGCCUACCAAAGCGACGAUCAGUAGCCGAUUUGAGAGGAUGAACGGCCACAUUGGGACUGAGACACGGCCCAAACUCCUACGGGAGGCAGCAGUGGGGGAUAUUGCACAAUGGGGGGAACCCUGAUGCAGCGACGCCGCGUGAGUGAAGAAGUAUUUCGGUAUGUAAAGCUCUAUCAGCAGGGAAGAUAAUGACAGUACCUGAAUAAGAAGCCCCGGCGAACUACGU